UACGUAGGGUGCAAGCGUUAAUCGGAAUACUGGGCGUAAAGCGUGCGCAGGCGGCUUUGCAAGACAGAUGUGAAAUCCCCGGGCUCAACCUGGGAACUGCAUUUGUGACUGCAUGGCUAGAGUACGGUAGAGGGGGAUGGAAUUCCGGCGUGGUAAGCAGUGAAAUGCGUAGAUAUCGGGAGGAACACCAGUGGCGAAGGCGACUACCUGGCCUGUUCUUGACGCUGAGGCGCGAAAGCUAGGGGAGCAAACGGG
rnacentral:rRNA from 1 species